rnacentral:rRNA from 1 species
CCUACGGGAGACAGCAGUAGGGAAUAUUCCACAAUGAGGGAAACCCUGAUGGAGCGACACAGCGUGUAGGAAGACGGUCUUCUGGAUUGUAAGCCACGGUCCCCAGGAAGAACAAUGACGAUACCUGGGGAUGCCAUUCCGACUAACUACGUGCCAGCAGCCGCGGUAAUACGUAGGGAGCAAGCGUUGUCCGGAAUUACUGGGUGUAAAGGGAGCGUAGGCGGGGGUGCAAGUGUGGAGUAAAACCCCCCGGCUCAACCGCUAGUCGCACUCAAAACUGGCACUCUUGAGUGAAGUAGAGGUAAGCGGAAUUCCGAGUGUAGCGGUGAAAUGCGUAGAUAUUAGGAGGAACACCAGGGGCGAAGGCGGUCUGCUGGGCUUUUACUGACGCUGAGGGUCGAAAGCGUGGGGAGCAAACAGGAUUAGAUACCCUUGUAGUC